CAGCACCCCGGGGUGUCGCGGGCCGCUGAGGGUGGCCGGGUGCCCGCAGGUGGCUGCCGCCUGCGCCUACCCCGAGCUGCUGGGCACCGCCGCCGUGCCCGCCGAGGCCGAGCAGCGCGCCCGCCGCCUCCUGCGGCACCUGCACGGCGGCAGCCCAGGUACCGGCCCCGGCAUCCCGCCGCCGGGUUGGCGGGGGGACGGAAAUUUGGGGCCAAGGGAGCUGCCCCCCUCCUCCCUUCCCGACGCCACCCCGUCCCCAGGGGCUUACAACCUGGAGUACGUCACCGACACCGUCGCCCGCACGGUGGCCCGGUUCCUGGAGCGGCGCGACGGCGGCGUCCCCUGCGAUCCCGGGAGCAUCGUGCCCUGCGGCGGCACGGCGGCGGCCGUGGUGGUGAGCUGGGGUCGUCCCCCCUCCCCACCCCGGGGUGUUGCAGUGUCCCCUCUGCACCGGUGCGUUGCAGCAUCCUCCUGCCCCGGGGCGUUGCAGCAUCCCCCCUGCACUGUGGUGUUGCAACGUCCCCCCCCUGCCCCGGGGCAUUGCAGCGUCCCCCUGCCCUGGUGCAUUGCAGCAUCCCCCCCCGCCCCGGGGCGUUGCAGCAUCCCCCUGCACUGGGGCGUUGCAGCGUUUCCCCCUGCCCCGGGGCGUUGCAAUGGUCCCAUGCCCGGGCGAGCACCCCAGGGUGCUGGUGAUCUCGCCGACGCGGCUUCGCCCGGCAGGACGUCGUGUCGCUGGUGGUGGACGCGGGGGCGGCGCGGCGGGCAGCCGUGCUGCUCCCGGCGCCGGGGCCGCCGCUCUACGGGGCGGCUGCGGCGCUGGCCGGGGCCGCGGCCGUUCCCUACCUGCUGGCCGAGGAGCGGGGCUGGGACGUGGACGUGGGCGAGGUGCAGCGGGCGCUGCGGCAGGCCCGGGAGCGCUGCGACCCCAAAGUGCUCUGCGUCGUCAACCCCGGGGACCCCACGGGUGAGCGAGGGGGCUGAGUCCUCCCCCGACCCCAUGCAUGGUGCUGCCCCCUCUUCCCUUUGCAACCCGUGGUUGCCCCCCAGGCCACGUGCUGAGCCGGCAGAGCAUGGAAGCCAUCAUCCGGCUGGCGNNNNNNNNNNNNNNNNNNNNNNNNNNNNN
rnacentral:lncRNA from 1 species